UACGGGGGGGGCAAGCGUUGCUCGGAAUCACUGGGCGUAAAGGGUGCGUAGGCGGGUCUUAAGUCAGGGUGAAAUCCUGGAGCUCAACUCCAGAACGUGCCUUUGAUACUGAGGAUCUUGAGUGACGGGAGAGGUGAGUGGAACUGCGAGUGUAGAGGUGAAAUUCGUAGAUAUUCGCAAGAAUACCAGUGGCGAAGGCGG
rnacentral:rRNA from 1 species